GCCUGGGUGGCUCAGUCGGUUGAGCAUCUGCCUUUGGCUCAGGUCAUGAUCUCACAGUUUGUGAGUUCGAGCCCCGCAUCGGGCU
rnacentral:tRNA from 1 species